rnacentral:rRNA from 1 species
UACGUAGGGGGCAAGCGUUGUCCGGAUUUAUUGGGCGUAAAGAGCGUGUAGGCGGCCAGAUAAGUCCGCUGUGAAAUCUCGAGGCUCAACUUCGAGCUGUCGGUGGAAACUGUCUGGCUAGAGUCCGGAAGAGGAGAAUGGAAUUCCGUGGUGUAGCGGUGAAAUGACGCAGAUAUCAGGAAGAACACCCGUGGCGAAGGCGGCUCUCUGGGACGGUACUGACGCUGAGACGCGAAAGCGUGGGGAGCGAACAGG